GAGGCCACUGCUAUGGGGGUCCGACUAAGCCAUGCGAGUCAUGGGGCGCGCUCUGCGCGCACCGGCGGACGGCUCAGUAACACGUCGGUAACCUACCCUCGGGAGGGGGAUAACCCCGGGAAACUGGGGCUAAUCCCCCAUAGGCCUGAGGUACUGGAAGGUCCUCAGGCCGAAAGGGGCAUCUGCCCGCCCGAGGAUGGGCCGGCGGCCGAUUAGGUAGUUGGUGGGGUAACGGCCCACCAAGCCGAAGAUCGGUACGGGCCAUGAGAGUGGGAGCCCGGAGAUGGACACUGAGACACGGGUCCAGGCCCUACGGGGCGCAGCAGGCGCGAAACCUCCGCAAUGCGGGCAACCGCGACGGGGGGACCCCCAGUGCCGUGGCACAGCCACGGCUUUUCCGGAGUGUAAAAAGCUCCGGGAAUAAGGGCUGGGCAAGGCCGGUGGCAGCCGCCGCGGUAAUACCGGCGGCCCAAGUGGUGGCCGCUAUUAUUGGGCCUAAAGCGUCCGUAGCCGGGCCCGUAAGUCCCUGGCGAAAUCCCACGGCUCAACCGUGGGGCUUGCUGGGGAUACUGCGGGCCUUGGGACCGGGAGAGGCCGGGGGUACCCCUGGGGUAGGGGUGAAAUCCUGUAAUCCCAGGGGGACCGCCAGUGGCGAAGGCGCCCGGCUGGAACGGGUCCGACGGUGAGGGACGAAGGCCAGGGGAGCGAACCGGAUUAGAUACCCGGGUAGUCCUGGCUGUAAAGGAUGCGGGCUAGGUGUCGGGCGAGCUUCGAGCUCGCCCGGUGCCGAAGGGAAGCCGUUAAGCCCGCCGCCUGGGGAGUACGGCCGCAAGGCUGAAACUUAAAGGAAUUGGCGGGGGAGCACUACAAGGGGUGGAGCGUGCGGUUUAAUUGGAUUCAACGCCGGGAACCUCACCGGGGGCGACGGCAGGAUGAAGGCCAGGCUGAAGGUCUUGCCGGACGCGCCGAGAGGAGGUGCAUGGCCGCCGUCAGCUCGUACCGUGAGGCGUCCACUUAAGUGUGGUAACGAGCGAGACCCGCGCCCCCAGUUGCCAGUCCUCCCCGCUGGGGAGGAGGCACUCUGGGGGGACCGCCGGCGAUAAGCCGGAGGAAGGAGCGGGCGACGGUAGGUCAGUAUGCCCCGAAACCCCCGGGCUACACGCGCGCUACAAUGGGCGGGACAAUGGGAUCCGACCCCGAAAGGGGAAGGGAAUCCCCUAAACCCGCCCUCAGUUCGGAUCGCGGGCUGCAACUCGCCCGCGUGAAGCUGGAAUCCCUAGUACCCGCGUGUCAUCAUCGCGCGGCGAAUACGUCCCUGCUCCUUGCACACACCGCCCGUCACUCCACCCGAGCGGGGUCCGGGUGAGGCC
rnacentral:rRNA from 2 species